GCCAGGUGUGGUGGCACAUGCCUGCAGUCCCAGUUACUCGGGAGGCUGAAGUGGGAGGAUUACCUGAGCCCAGGAGUUCUGAGCUGUAGUGUGCUAUGCCGAUCAGGUGUCCACACGAAGUUUGACAUCAGUGCAGUGAACUGUCGGGAGCAGGGGGCCACCAGGCUGCCUGAGGAGGGGUGAACUGACCCAGGUUGGAAAUGGAGCAGGUCAAAACUCCCAUGCUGAUCAGUAGCAGGAUCGUGCCUGUGAAUAGCCACUGUACUCCAGCCUGAGCAAUAUAGCGAAACCCUGUCUCA
rnacentral:SRP_RNA from 1 species